GAAGCAGCUAUUCAUUCAAAGAGUGCGUAACAGCUCACUGGUCGAGCGGAGCCGCGUGGAUGAUGAUCGGGCAUCAAGACCGUCGCCGAAGCCGAGGACGGCAUGCUAGUCAUGCCGUGGUAGGGGAGCAUUCCGGUCGGCGCCGAAGGUAUGGCGCGAGCCAUGCUGGAGCGUCCGGAAAAGAAAAUGUAGGCAUGAGUAACGACAAGAGAUGUACAAACAUCUCCGCCGAAAACCCAAGGUUUCCGGGGCCACGCUAAACGGCCCCGGGUGAGCCGGGAGCUAAGGGGAAGCCGAAGGGCGAACCCGAUGCCGAUGCGGUCAAUAUUCCGCAGCCGGCCCGUGGGGCGAGGUCGCGACCGAGAAGUGAAACCUCCGCGCGGAGACGGAAUUCCGCGUUGAAGGCGGUAGGCGGGAGCCGAGAGCCGACAGUACGGCGAGCCUCCGGGCGAGCCGACAGCGAGGGUAACCAAGCUCGCGAGAAAAGCGACGUAGCGUUAAGACACGGGCCGCCCGUACCGUAAACCGACACAGGUGGGUGGGGAGAGAAUCCUGAGGCGCUCGAGUGAAUCACGGCCAAGGAACUAGGCAAAUUGACCCCGUAACUUAGGGAGAAGGGGUCCCGCGGCGACGCGGGCGCAGAGAAAUGGCCCAGGCGACUGUUUACCAAAAACAUAUGGCUAUGCGAAAUCGUUAAGAUGACGAAUAUGGCCUGACACCUGCCCGGUGCCGGAAGGUUAAGAGGGGGGGGCACCGAAAGGGAAGCCCUGAAUUGAAGCCCCGGUAAACGGCGGCCGUAACUAUAACGGUCCUAAGGUAGCGAAAUUCCUUGUCGGGUAAGUUCCGACCUGCACGAAUGGUGUAACGAUCUGGGCGCUGUCUCAGCCGUGAGCUCGGUGAAAUUGUAGUGGCGGUGAAGAUGCCGCCUACCCGCAACGGGACGAAAAGACCCCGUGAACCUUUACUAUAGCUUAGCGCUGAUCUUGGACGUCGGAUGUGUAGCAUAGGUGGGAGGCUUCGAGGCGCGGCCGCCAGGUCGCGAUUAGCCGCCAAAUGAAAUACCACCCUUCCGUCGUCUGGGGUCUAACUUCGCGAGAAGGACACCGCUUGGUGGGUAGUUUGACUGGGGUGGUCGCCUCCAAAAGAGUAACGGAGGCUUCCCAAGGUCCGCUCAGGACGAAUGGCAACCGUCCGCAGAGUGCAGUGGCAGAAGCGGGCUUGACUGGGAGACAAACAGGUCGAGCAGGUACGAAAGUAGGGCAAAGUGAUCCGGCGGUUCCCCAUGGGAGGGCCGUCGCUCAUAGGACAAAAGGUACUCCGGGGAUAACAGGCUGAUCGCUCCCAAG
rnacentral:rRNA from 1 species